GCGCUGCCUUUGAGCCCCCGCUGCGCCUGCGUGUGGCGCCGGGGGUCAGGCUGCAGCGCCAGAGCAGCUGCUUGCGCAUAACUGGGGCCUACGGCGCUCUGCCGGCGGCCCUUUUAACCGCGAGCGACACGG
rnacentral:snoRNA from 12 species